rnacentral:rRNA from 1 species
UACGAAGGGGGCUAGCGUUGUUCGGAAUCACUGGGCGUAAAGCGCACGUAGGCGGGUCUUUAAGUCAGGGGGGAAAUCCUGGAGCUCAACUCCAGAACUGCCUUUGAUACUGAGGAUCUUGAGUUCGGGAGAGGUGAGUGGAACUGCGAGUGUAGAGGUGAAAUUCGUAGAUAUUCGCAAGAACACCAGUGGCGAAGGCGGCUCACUGGCCCGAUACUGACGCUGAGGCACGAAAGCGUGGGGAGCAAACAGG